rnacentral:rRNA from 1 species
AGUGAACGCUGGCGGCAGGCCUAACACAUGCAAGUCGAGCGGCAGCGCGGGGGCAACCCUGGCGGCGAGCGGCGGACGGGUGAGGAAUUCGUCGGAAUCUGCCUUUUUGUGGGAGAUAACGUAGGGAAACUUACGCUAAUACCGCAUACGUCCUACGGGAGAAAGUGGGGGACCGCAAGGCCUCACGCAGAAAGAUGAGCCGACGACCGAUUAGCUAGUUGGUGGGGUAAAGGCCCACCAAGGCGACAAUCGGUAGCUGGUCUGAGAGGAUGAUCAGCCACACUGGGACUGAGACACGGCCCAGACUCCUACGGGAGGCAGCAGUGGGGAAUAUUGGACAAUGGGCGCAAGCCUGAUCCAGCCAUGCCGCGUGUGUGAAGAAGGCCUUCGGGUUGUAAAGCACUUUUGUCCGGAAAGAAAUCCCUGGAGCUAAUACCUUCGGGGGAUGACGGUACCGGAAGAAUAAGCACCGGCUAACUUCGUG